rnacentral:rRNA from 1 species
GACGAACGCUGGCGGCGUGCUUAACACAUGCAAGUCGAACGGAAAGGCCCUGCUUUUGUGGGGUGCUCGAGUGGCGAACGGGUGAGUAACACGUGAGUAACCUGCCCUUGACUUUGGGAUAACUUCAGGAAACUGGGGCUAAUACCGGAUAGGAGCUCCUGCUGCAUGGUGGGGGUUGGAAAGUUUCGGUGGUUGGGGAUGGACUCGCGGCUUAUCAGCUUGUUGGUGGGGUAGUGGCUUACCAAGGCUUUGACGGGUAGCCGGCCUGAGAGGGUGACCAGCCACAUUGGGACUGAGAUACGGCCCAGACGCCUACGGGAGGCAGCAGUGGAGAAUAUUGCACAAUGGGCGGAAGCCUGAGGCAGCAACGCCGCGUGCGGGAUGACGGCCUUCGGGUUGUAAACCGCUUUCGCCUGUGACGAAGCGUGAGUGACGGUAAUGGGUAAAGAAGCACCGGCUAACUACGUG